UCGUCAGCUCGUGUCGUGAGAUGUUGGGUUAAGUCCCGCAACGAGCGCAACCCUUGCCUUUAGUUGCCAGCAUUAAGUUGGGCACUCUAGAGGGACUGCCAGGGAUAACCUGGAGGAAGGUGGGGAUGACGUCAAAUCAUCAUGCCCCUUAUGUUUAGGGCUACACACGUGCUACAAUGGGUGGUACAGAGGGCAGCCAAGUCGUGAGGCGGAGCUAAUCCCUUAAAGCCAUUCUCAGUUCGGAUUGUAGGCUGAAACUCGCCUACAUGAAGCUGGAGUUACUAGUAAUCGCAGAUCAGAAUGCUGCGGUGAAUGCGUUCCCGGGUCUUGUACACACCGCCCGUCACACCACGGAAGUUGGGGGCGCCCGAAGCCGGAUUGCUAACCUUUUGGAAGCGUCCGUCGAAGGUGAAAUCAAUAACUGGGGUGAAGUCGUAACAAGGUAACCGUA
rnacentral:rRNA from 1 species